rnacentral:rRNA from 1 species
UACAGAGGUGGCAAGCGUUGUUCGGAAUUACUGGGCGUAAAGGGCGCGUAGGCGGCCAUCUAAGUCAGACGUGAAAUCCCCCGGCUUAACCUGGGAACUGCGUCUGAUACUGGAAGGCUCGAGUUUGGGAGAGGGAUGUGGAAUUCCAGGUGUAGCGGUGAAAUGCGUAGAUAUCUGGAGGAACACCGGUGGCGAAGGCGGCAUCCUGGACCGGUAUUGACGCUGAGGCGCGAAAGCCAGGGGAGCAAACGGG